UAGUAACGGCGAGUGAAGCGGGAUGAGCUCAAGCUUAAAAUCUCUGUCACAAAUUUAUUUUGUGCGGCGAAUUGUAGUCUAUAGAAGCGUGGUCAGUGUAGGCGCUUGGGUUAAGUUCCUUGAAAAAGGACAGCAUCGAGGGUGAUACUCCCGUUUGUACCUAAGUGUCUUAUGCGUACGACCCGUUUUCUUUGAGUCGCGUUGUUUGAGAAUGCAGCGCAAAGUAGGUGGUAAAUUCCAUCUAAAGCUAAAUAUUGGUGCGAGACCGAUAGCGAACAAGUACCGUGAGGGAAAGAUGAAAAGAACUUUGAAAAGAGAGUUAAAGAGUACCUGAAACUGCUGAAAGGGAACCGGAUCGUUUCUAGUGUCUAUAAUCCGUGACAUAUUUCAUUGGCGGGCGUGUGCGUAUGUGUACUAUGGCAGCGGCUAAUUGGCUGCGCUUGGUGUGCGUGCUGUGUGUGCUUACUGGUGCCCUGUGUUAUGGUGGGACGUCAAGGUCAGUUCGUAUGCUGCGGGAAAUGGCUGCUGAGGAGGUAGGGCUUACGCUUGCGUUUGUCUGUUAUAUCUUGGUGGUUUUGUCGUGGUUGGGACUGAGGUGUUCUACAACGUGCUCUUGAGUAGGUCUGCGUCUCCGUGUGCACCGUGUGCAGAUAGCUUGCUAUGUGUGUGUGGUUGUGUGUGGAUUGAUGCGGGCUUGAACUUGUWGCCGUUY
rnacentral:rRNA from 1 species